AGGGAGAGGAUAGAUGGAGAGGAGAUGAUAGAGGGAGAGGAUAGAGGGAUAGAGGGAUAGGAGAUGAUAGAGUGAUAGGAGAUAGAGGGAGAGGAUAUAGGGAUUGACGGAUAGGAGAUGAUAGAGGGAUAGGAGAGGAUAGAGGGAGAGGAUAGAGGGAUAGAGGGAUAGGAGAUGAUAGAGGGAGAGGAUAGAGGGAUAGGAGAUGAUAGAGGGAGAGGAUAGGAGAUGAUAGAGGGAUAGGAGAUGAUAGAGGGAGAGGAUAGAGGGAUAGAGGGAUAGGAGAUGAUAGAGGGAGAGGAUAGAGGGAUAGGAGAUGAUAGAGGGAGAGGAUAGGAGAUGAUAGAGGGAGAGGAGAUGAUAGAGGGAUAUGAGAGGAUAGAGGGAGAGAAUAGUGGGGUAGGAGAUGAUAGAGGGAUAGGAGAUGACAGAGGGAGAGGAUUUAGGGAGAGGAGAUUGUAGAGGGAGAGGAUAGAGGGAUAGGAGAUGAUAGAGGGAGAGAAUAGUGGGAUGUGAGACAUGGACAAGGACAAUGUCAGGGACAGAAACACGUGGAUCAGUUGAAAGAAAUGUCUCAAACUAGACUGCUACCAAGGGACCAUCGUAAAAAUCUUCACCUCUCCUCUCUACCGCUCUUCACCUCUCCUUCUCCCCCUCUCUCUCCUUUCCUCCCCCGAUCCAUCUCCUAUCUUCCUUUGCCCCUGCUGUGGGGUAAUGUUUUGCUAAAUGUUUUAGUAUGAGUAUGGGGGACUGUGAGAACCCUAAAAUCACCCCUCUUCUCCUGGAUGUGUUCCCAGUGCUUUGAAAGAGGUCAAAGGUCAUACCUAACUGAUCCCGGACUAUGGUAGAAACCAGAAAAAAAGUAUGGUAGACACCAGGAGCCAGGAAGGGUAGACACCAGGAGUCAGGUAUGAUGACACCAGAAGCCAGGUAGGGGAGACACCAGGAGUCAGGUAUGAUGACACCAGAAGCCAGGUAUGAUGAAACCAGAAGCCAGGUAUGAUGACACCAGGAGCCAGGAAGGGUAAAAAAUAAGGGGCCAGGAAGGGUAGACACCAGGAGCCAGGAAGGGUAGACACCAGGAGUCAGGAAGGAUAGACACCAGGAGCCAGGAAGGGUGGACACCAGGAGCCAGGUAGGGUAGACACCAGGAGCCAGGUAGGGUAGACACCAGGAUCCAGGUAGGGUAGACACCAGAAGCCAGGUAUGGUAGACACCAGAAGCCAGGUAUGGUAGACACCAGAAGACAGGUAGACACCAGAAGACAGGUAUGGUAGACACCAGAAGACAGGUAUUGUAGACACCAGAAGCCAGGUAUGGUAGACACCAGAAGCCAGGUAUGGUAGACACCAGAAGACAGGUAUGGUAGACACCAGAAGACAGGUAUUGUAGACACCAGAAGACAGGUAUGGUAGACACCAGAAGACAGGUAUGGUAGACACCAGAAGACAGGUAUUGAGGACACCAGAAGCCAGGUAUGGUAGACACCAGAAGCCAGGUAUGGUAGACACCAGAAGCCAGGUAUGGUAGACACCAGAAGACAGGUAGACACCAGAAGACAGGUAUGGUAUACACCAAAAGACAGAUAUGGUAGACACCAGAAGACAGGAAUUGUAGACACCAGAAGACAGGUAUUGUAGACACCAGAAGCCAGGUAUGGUAGACACCAGAAGCCAGGUAUGGUAGACACCAGAAGACAGGUAGACACCAGAAGACAGGUAUGGUAGACACCAGAAGAGAGGUAUGGUAUACACCAAAAGACAGGUAGACACCAGAAGACAGGAAUGGUAGACACCAGAAGACAGGUAUUGUAGAUGGAGGCCUGAUCUAAUGAAAUGUCAUGGAGGCCUGAUCUAUAGAACUGACAUGGAGGCCCGAUCUAAUGAACUGACAUGGAGGCCUGAUCUAUAGAACUGACAUGGAGGCCUGAUCUAAUGAACUGACAUGGAGGCCUGAUCUAAUGAACUGACAUGGAGGCCUGAUCUAUAGAACUGACAUGGAGGCCUGAUCUAAUGAACUGACAUGGAGGCCUGAUCUAUAGAACUGACAUGGAGGCCUGAUCUAAUGAACUGACAUGGAGGCCUGAUCUAUAGAACUGACAUGGAGGCCUGAUCUAUAGAACUGACAUGGAGGCCUGAUCUAUAGAACUGACAUGGAGGCCCGAUCUAUAGAACUGACAUGGAGGCCUGAUCUAUAGAACUGACAUGGAGGCCUGCUCUAAUGUGCUGACAUGGAGGCCUGAUCUAAUGAACUGAUAUGGAGGCCUGAUCUAAUGAACUGACAUGGAGGCCUGAUCUAAUGAACUGUCAUGGAGGCCUGAUCUAAUGAACUGACAUGGAGGCCUGAUCUAAUGAACUGACAUGGAGGCCUGAUCUAUAGAACUGACAUGGAGGCCUGAUCUAAUGAACUGACAUGGAGGCCUGAUCUAAUGAACUGACAUGGAGGCAGAGACCUUUUCUUUUCAGAACUUCCCUCCAUUGAUCUGCCCCGUUGGCAGUGUAGUCUGGUACGUUGCCUCCCCUGCGCCGAGGUGGCGCCGUCGCCCACAAAAUCAAACAUGGCUGCCAGUGCUUGGUGUUGUCACUCUCAGUGGCAUUGAGCGGGUGCCAGCGGCGGGCAUUCCUUCACCGGAGUUAGCAUUCAGUCUGCAUAGGGCAAGUCAAGCAGGCUUUAGUGUCCCACCCAACCAGAGUCACCACUCUGUGGUGGGGGAUACAAAUGUGGCGAGUCAAUGAAAGUCUCUCUCUCUCACACACACACACACACACACUCAGACAGUCAGACACACACACACACACACUCUCACACACACACACACACACACACACAAUCACUUAGUUAGAAAGUACCAUUCAGGGACACAUCUAGUGAGUUAGACAGGGGCUUUCAAAGAAAUACAUUUAGAAAGAGUCACAUGGUUGCACAUCCACAGAAUGGAGGAACGUGCCCUCAUUCCCCAAUGGCAUGCCAACUUCUCUAUUAGUGUCUGAGCUUUUCCAUGUGAUUUGUGUUCACCAGAAUUAAAUGACAUCAUGUUCAUCACCAUCCGAUGACAUCAUGUUCACCACUAUCCGAUGACAUCAUGUUCACCACCAUCCGAUGACAUCAUGUUCACCACUAUCCGAUGACAUCAUGUUCACCACUAUCCGAUGACAUCAUGUUCACCACUAUCCGAUGACAUCAUGUUCACCACUAUCCGAUGACAUCAUGUUCACCACUAUCCGAUGACAUCAUGUUCACCACUAUCCGAUGACAUCAUGUUCACCACUAUCCGAUGACAUCAUGGUCAUUACCAUCCGAUGACAUCAUGUUCACCACUAUCCGAUGACAUCAUGUUCACCACUAUCCGAUGACAUCAUGGUCAUUACCAUCCGAUGACAUCAUGUUCACCACUAUCCGAUGACAUCAUGUUCACCACUAUCCGAUGACAUCAUGUUCACCACCAUCCGAUGACAUCAUGUUCACCACUAUCCGAUGAUAUCAUGUUCACCACUAUCCGAUGACGUCGUGUUCACCAUUAUCCGAUGACGUCGUGUUCACCAUUAUUCGAUGACGUCAUACCGACAUUAUAAGAUUGCAACUGUAAAAAAGUCAAACACCUGAGCUGAUGCACACCCCAAAAUGUGAUGCGGACUAACGGACAAUAAACUGCUGAAAAAAGAAAGAAAGCAACCACGAUGCGUUGGUUAUUAAGUUCAUCAAUUGGUUAUGAAGCAUGAACACGACCUUGUGCCGUUUCAGUGAGCUGUCAUUACAUGGAGAGUCAUCCAAUGUUUAAAAUGAAAUAUCGUUGGACUGUUCAUCCUAACAUUCACUAAAACAUUGUGCACAUGUUCUAAUAGCACAAAACUCUCCAUUUGUGGUGAUGAUUAUAGAAUAUUUAUAUAAAACCAUUUGCCCGAUGUUGCAAAUACAUUCCUGUAAUAUGUUUAAUCUGUUCUUUGAAAGUUCCCAGAAUGUUUCUUUAGUUGGGUUAACAUUGUGGGGUCAAGAAAGGAGAUAUAUAUUCACAAAACACAAAAUCUGUCCAGGUGUGUAGACAUUCAGAUAAUAUUUGUAUUAGGGUGAACAGAACGUUCCUUUGAUUCCUUACUCCCCUACUCCACCACUACCACAUAUCUACAACACACUGUGUGUCCUCAGGCCCCUCCUCCACCACUACCACAUAUCUACAACACACUGUGUGUCCUCAGGCCCCUCCUCCACUACUACCACAUAUCUACAACACACUGUGUGCCCUCAGGCCCCUCCUCCACUACUACCACAUAUCUACAACACACUGUGUGUCCUCAGGCCCCUCCUCCACCACUACCACAUAUCUACAACACACUGUGUGCCCUCAGGCCCCUCCUCCACCUAGAAAGCAGCAUGGAAUACAUCCCCAUUAUGUGAUAUAGUCGUUUUGAGCGAUUAAACAAAAUGUGGUUUAUUAUUAUUAUUAUUUUUUUUAUUAAUUAAAGAACUAACGGAUCAACAUCGGUUUAAUUAUUUAAAUUCCAUUUCGUUCUGUUUUUUUCCUCCUGUGAUCUCAAUGUGCACAUUGCACGGUUUCUUUAAAGAUGAAGCAGAUCAAGCCCGAACUGAGAGAUGUAGUAAGGAGUUGCAGUUUCCAACAGGCCAAAAUUCUACAUAGUUUAUCAGAUGUAGUAGGGAGUUGUAGUUUCCAACAGGCCAGCAUUCUACAUAGUUUAUCAGAUGUAGUAGGGAGUUGUAGUUUCCAACAGGC
ensembl:lncRNA